rnacentral:misc_RNA from 1 species
GCAAACUUGGUCAUUUAGAGGAAGUAAAAGUCGUAACAAGGUCUCCGUUGGUGAACCAGCGGAGGGAUCAUUCAAAAGACGCCCGCGGCGGCCACUGUAACAGGUGCUGCCGCGGUAUCGCCUAACCCCUGUGAACCGCCUACCUUAAACGUUGCCUCGGCGGGCGGCCCCCUUAAAGGGCCACCGCCGGCGGCCCCUAGCAAGAGCUCUAGCCACCGCGGCCUGCCUCUGAUUAGUGACACGUUGCAAACGCUAAAAACUUUCAACAACGGAUCUCUUGGCUCCAGCAUCGAUGAAGAACGCAGC